rnacentral:rRNA from 1 species
UACAUGGGGUGCAAACGUUGCUCGGAAUCAUUGGGCGUAAAGCGCGCGUAGGCGGUUAUCUAAGUCGGAUGUGAAAGCCCUCGGCUUAACUGAGGAAGUGCAUCCGAAACUGAAUAGCUAGAGUACGAAAGAGGGUCGCGGAAUUCCCGGUGUAGAGGUGAAAUUCGUAGAUAUCGGGAGGAAUACCGAUGGCGAAGGCAGGUCUCUGGGCUGACACUGACGCUCAUGCACGAAAGCGUGGGGAGCAAACAGG